rnacentral:rRNA from 1 species
UACGUAGGGUCCGAGCGCUGUCCGGAAUUACUGGGCGUAAAGAGCUCGUAGGUGGUUUGUCGCGUUGUUCGUGAAAACUCACAGCUCAACUGUGGGCGUGCGGGCGAUACGGGCAGACUAGAGUACUGCAGGGGAGACUGGAAUUCCUGGUGUAGCGGUGGAAUGCGCAGAUAUCAGGAAGAACACCGGUGGCGAAGGCGGCUCUCUGGGCCUUACCUGACGCUGAGGAGCGAAAGCGUGGGUAGCGAACAGG